rnacentral:rRNA from 1 species
AUGAGUAUUUUAUGCUGGAACUGUCGAGGAUUGGGGUCGGCCUCGACAGUUGGCGAGCUUCGCUGGCUUGUGAAGCUUCACCGACCCACCCCCCUCUUUCUGUCUGAGACAAAGAUGAGGGAUACUCGUGUUCGUAAUUUCAUGUGGUCUUUAAGUUUUUCUGGUUGUUUUGCUGUCAGUUCAGACGGACAAAGUGGUGGACUGGCUCUUUUUUGGAAGGAGUCGGUGAAUAUAUCUCUAAAGGCGUGCAAUUCAAGAUGUAUUGAUGUUCAUGUAUCUUCUGAUUUAGUACCAGCUUGGAGAGCAACUUUUGUGUAUGGGAACCAAGGAGGGAAGAUAGAGCUCAAUUUUGGGGGCUUCUUCGGCGUUUGA